rnacentral:rRNA from 1 species
AUUGAACGCUGGCGGCAGGCUUAACACAUGCAAGUCGAGCGGAGAUGAGGUGCUUGCACCUUAUCUUAGCGGCGGACGGGUGAGUAAUGCUUAGGAAUCUGCCUAUUAGUGGGGGACAACAUUCCGAAAGGAAUGCUAAUACCGCAUACGUCCUACGGGAGAAAGCAGGGGAUCUUCGGACCUUGCGCUAAUAGAUGAGCCUAAGUCGGAUUAGCUAGUUGGUGGGGUAAAGGCCUACCAAGGCGACGAUCUGUAGCGGGGCUGAGAGGAUGAUCCGCCACACUGGGACUGAGACACGGCCCAGACUCCUACGGGAGGCAGCAGUGGGGAAUAUUGGACAAUGGGGGGAACCCUGAUCCAGCCAUGCCGCGUGUGUGAAGAAGGCCUUAUGGUUGUAAAGCACUUUAAGCGAGGAGGAGGCUACUGAGACUAAUACUCUUGGAUAGUGGACGUUACUCGCAGAAUAAGCACCGGCUAACUCUGUGCCAGCAGCCGCGGUAA